GACGAACGCUGGCGGCGUGCUUAACACAUGCAAGUCGAACGGUGAAGCGCCUUCCUUUUUGGUUGGUGUGGAUGAGUGGCGACCGGGUGAGUAACACGUUAGUAACCUGCCCCCUUCUUCUGGAUAACCGCAUGAAAGUGUGGCUAAUACGGGAUAUUCUGGGUCUGUCGCAUUAUGGGUCUGGGAAAGGUCUUGUUUCUGUGGGGGAUGGGCUCGCGUCCUUUCAGCUUUGUGGUGGGGUGGUGGCCUACCAAGGCGGUGACGGGAAGCCGGCCUGAGAGGGUGGACGGUCACACUGGGGAUGAGACACGGCCCAGACUCCUACGGGAGGCAGCAGUGGGGAAUAUUGCAAAAUGGGCGCAAGCGUGAUGCAGCGACGCGGCGUGAGGGAUGGAGGCCUUCGGGGUGUGAACCUCUUUCGCCAGUGAAGCAGGACGGCCUCGUUUGUGGGUGGGUUGACGGUAGCUGGAUAAGAAGCGCCGGCUAACUACGUG
rnacentral:rRNA from 1 species